UGGGGAAUAUUGCGCAUGGGCGAAAGCCUGACGCAGCGACGCCGCGUGAGGGAAGAAGGCCUUCGGGUCGUAAACCUCUGUCUGGAGGAAAGAAACCCAUGGGUUCAAAUAGGGCUCAUGGCUGACGGUACCUCCGAAGGAAGCACCGGCUAACUCCGUGCCAGCAGCCGCGGUAAUACGGAGGGUGCAAGCGUUAAUCGGAAUCACUGGGCGUAAAGCGCACGUAGGCUGUCUUGCAAGUCAGACGUGAAAGCCCUCGGCUCAACCGGGGAACUGCGUUUGAAACUGCAUGACUUGAGUACAGGAGAGGGUGGCAGAAUUCCGGGUGUAGGGGUGAAAUCCGUAGAUAUCCGGAGGAAUACCAGUGGCGAAGGCGGCCAUCUGGACUGUCACUGACGCUGAGGUGCGAAAGCGUGGGGAGCAAACAG
rnacentral:rRNA from 1 species